rnacentral:rRNA from 1 species
UGGGGGAUAACCUGGGGAAACCCAGGCUAAUACCGCAUACGUCCUACGGGAGAAAGCAGGGGAUCUUCGGACCUUGCGCUAUCGGAUGAGCCUAUGUCGGAUUAGCUUGUUGGUGAGGUAAUGGCUCACCAAGGCGACGAUCCGUAGCUGGUCUGAGAGGAUGAUCAGCCACAUCGGGACUGAGACACGGCCCGAACUCCUACGGGAGGCAGCAGUGGGGAAUAUUGGACAAUGGGCGAAAGCCUGAUCCAGCCAUGCCGCGUGUGUGAAGAAGGCUUUCGGGUUGUAAAGCACUUUCAGUGAGGAAGAAGGCCUUGGGGCUAAUACCCCCGAGGAAGGACAUCACUCACAGAAGAAGCACCGGCUAACUCCGUGCCAGCAGCCGCGGUAAUACGGAGGGUGCGAGCGUUAAUCGGAAUUACUGGGCGUAAAGCGCGCGUAGGCGGCGUGAUAAGCCGGUUGUGAAAGCCCCGGGCUCAACCUGGGAACGGCAUCCGGAACUGUCAGGCUAGAGUGCAGGAGAGGAAGGUAGAAUUCCCGGUGUAGCGGUGAAAUGCGUAGAGAUCGGGAGGAAUACCAGUGGCGAAGGCGGCCUUCUGGACUGACACUGACGCUGAG